rnacentral:rRNA from 1 species
CCCUUAGAUGUUCUGGGCCGCACGCGCGCUACACUGACGAUGGCAACGAGUUUUUCCUUCGCCGAAAGGUGUGGGUAAUCUUUUGAAACAUCGUCGUGCUGGGGAUAGAUCAUUGCAAUUUUUGAUCUUGAACGAGGAAUUCCUAGUAAGCGCGAGUCAUCAGCUCGCGUUGCUUACGUCCCUGCCCUUUGUACACACCGCCCGUCGCUACUACCGAUUGAAUGGUUUAGUGAGGACUCCUGAUUGGCGCCGCCGCCCCGGCAACGGAGCAGCGGACUGCCGAAAAGUUGUUCAAACUUGAUCAUUUAGAGGAAGUAAAAGUCGUAACA